rnacentral:rRNA from 1 species
AGACAGAGGUGGCAAGCGUUGUUCGGAUUUACUGGGCUUAAAGGGCGUGUAGGCGUCCUGGUAAGUCAGAUGUGGAAGCCUUGGGCUCAACCCAAGAAUUGCAUUUGAUACUGCCGGGAUUGAGUCGUGCAUGGGAGGGCGGAAUUCCUGGUGUAGCGGUGAAAUGCGUAGAUAUCAGGAGGAAGGCCGGUGGCGAAGGUGGCCCUCUGGGCAAUGACUGACGCUGAGGCGCGAAAGCGUGGGGAGCAAACAGGAUUAGAAACCCUAGUAGUCC